AGUGUAAGGCACCGGAACAGCAGACGGGCUCAUGGUCAGGUCAGGCAGAGGUCAAUAAUCCAGAGUAGAGUGUAAGGCACCGGAACAGCAGACGGGCUCAUGGUCAGGUCAGGCAGAGGUCAAUAAUCCAGAGUAGAGUGUAAGGCACCGGAACAGCAGACGGGCUCAUGGUCAGGUCAGGCAGAGGUCAAUAAUCCAGAGUAGAGUGUAAGGCACCGGAACAGCAGACGGGCUCAUGGUCAGGUCAGGCAGAGGUCAAUAAUCCAGAGUAGAGUGUAAGGCACCGAACAGCAGACGGGCUCAUGGUCAGGUCAGGCAGAGGUCAAUAAUCCAGAGUAGAGUGUAAGGCACCGGAACAGCAGACGGGCUCAUGGUCAGGUCAGGCAGAGGUCAAUAAUCCAGAGUAGAGUGUAAGGCACCGGAACAGCAGACGGGCGCAUGGUCAGGUCAGGCAGAGGUCAAUAAUCCAGAGAGAGUGUAAGGCACCGGAACAGCAGACGGGCUCAUGGUCAGGUCAGGCAGAGUUCAAUAAUCCAGAGUAGAGUGUAAGGCACCGGAACAGCAGACGGGCUCAUGGUCAGGUCAGGCAGAGGUCAAUAAUCCAGAGAGAGUGUAAGGCACCGGAACAGCAGACGGGCUCAUGGUCAGGUCAGGCAGAGGUCAAUAAUCCAGAGUAGAGGCAAAGGUACAGGACGGCAGGCAGGCUCAGGGCAGGCAGGCAGGCUCAGGGCAGGCAGGCAUGCUCAGGGCAGGCAGGCAGGCUCAGGGCAGGCAGGCAGACUCAGGGCAGGCAGGCAGGCUCAGGGCAGGCAGGCAGGCUCAGGGCAGGCAGAAAAGGUCAAAACUGUGAAACUACAAAACAGGGACUAUAGCGAAGACAGGAGCAAGGGAAACCGCUGGUAGGUUUGAACGAACAAAACAAACUGGCACAGACAAACAGAGAACACAGGUAUAAGUACCCAGGGGAUAAUGGGGAGGAUGGGCGACACCUGGAGGGGGGAGGAGACAACAACAAGGAUAGCUGAAACAGAUCAGGGCAUGACUAUGUCAUCCAUUUGAGCUCCGGUGUGUCCGAUUAGCCUCUCCCUAGUCACGUUAUGUAAGUACUGCGUUAUGAAUGCAUUCAACUGUGCUGGUUGGUGACAGUGAUGGUUGCUGUAUGUUUGUGAAUAUUGGGGUCCGGGAGUCUACUGCCCUUAUGUCAUUCAUUGGACUUCAUAUCGGUGGUGUUGAUGGAAGUUGCCCCUAUGCCCUGAUUCAAGGUCAGUUUAUAUUCCUACGUCCUAUGACCAAGGUUAGGAUUGAGGUUGGGAACGCUAAACCUAGAUCUGUGGUUAAAGACAACUUCUGUAAUGCGUCAAUGAAUGAGGGAUGGCUCCUUUGUGCACAUCUCAAACUUUUGUGUAAGUUCCCAGUUAAUGUGUGGGUGUAAGUGAGAGUUCAUCCCAGAAUGUGUGCUUAUUGUUUCUCUUUUUGUGUGCCUCCCCAGGUGCCCAAAAUGUGCGCCUCCCCAGGUGCCCAAAAUAUCUAUAUAUCAGAGAGAGGGGGGGGGGGGGAUCUGUCAUAAAGAUGUCAACAUUUCAGGUUUCACAAAUGUUAGUCUGUGUGUGUGUGUGUGAAAGAGACUCUCUUCUGUGUCUGCGUUGUCGUUGGUAAAAAGUAAGGGCCAACGACGGCACCGAUCAAACUAAGUUAGUCCCUCUCAGAAACACUGCCUGAUCAGGAAUAUGUCCUCAUGCCUCACCCUCUCACAAUGAUCCUCCUUAAAACCUUUGUGCCAUCGCUCUCCAUCACUGUCAAAGACUCGUGGCCUCCCGAGUGGUGCAGCGGUCUAC